AGUAAUGUAUGGGGAUCUGCCCGAUAGAGGGGGAUAACUACUGGAAACGGUGGCUAAUACCGCAUAAUGUCUACGGACCAAAGCAGGGGCUCUUCGGACCUUGCACUAUCGGAUGAACCCAUAUGGGAUUAGCUAGUAGGUGGGGUAAAGGCUCACCUAGGCGACGAUCUCUAGCUGGUCUGAGAGGAUGAUCAGCCCCACUGGGACUGAGACACGGCCCAG
rnacentral:rRNA from 1 species